AACUCUGCCAUGGCCUCUAAGUCAUUAACUCCAGCUACAGUUAACCUACGGGAACCAGGCCGAGCUUCAUGACUGGCCACUUCGGUCAUCCUUUUACACGAGUCCGGUGUAGAUGUGGCAACAGCUAGCGUGGUGGGACAUUCACACUGCUCUGCUCGUCUGUGUGGCCUGCUCUCCUCCAGUGCUCACGGCUCCAAAGAAGGAUCUUUGAACGUGACAUGUUUUGGGUUGUCCCAGUGUACUCUCCUUAGGAUCGUGCUGCGUCAGUAGAAAGUCAACUUGACCUGGGCCACAGUGGCCUGGCGAUCAGGGGCCUUGGGCCUCUCUGGACUACAUUUUCGCCACAUGGAAUUGUAAGGAGUUUUGAUUAGAUCGUCCAUGGCUCUGCUCUAAGUAGUAAAGUAAGAAUUGUUCACCGUCUUCUUCUCUGUAUCCCUGGCCUCCAAAACGCAGCCUGUACCUGGGCCAGGGACAAGAGACCCCCUAGGAGCAAGAUGAGGACCACAACACCAAUGGAGCCAGAAACAGCUCCUGCUGUGCCGAAGCUGAGGAGAGCAAAUAAGAGAAAGGAGGACACUCCAGCUGCCCUGUCUGGCUUUGGUGGUGACCAUCCACACAAUCGCCCUGGGGCCUCCCCUCUCCGGGAUGGAGACCCCAAACUCAUCCCCUCUCCAGCCACAUCGAUCCCUGGAUUUUUGGAGUUAGAAGGAAUCUUAAAACAUAUCUAGCCAAACUCUCCUGCUGUACAGGUGAGGACACUUAGGGAAAGCCACGUGCCCCAGGUAAGUGCUGAAUCCAGGACCUGAGUCCAUGUUUUCAACUCCAACCCCAACGCUCUCUCCCCUCACACCCAGGCCUCUUCCUGUUUCUUCCCCCAGAGCAUGGAGCUGCAUGAUUCAACCCCUCAGAGCAGGCAGCACCUCUCCACACCCAUGUUUGGGGACCUGCUACUCAGACACCCAAAAGCAAAGAUUGCUGCCAAGGUGGGGUGAAGGGAACCAAAGCAGUUUGACAGCUGUUCAUGUAGAAAAUAAUACAACAGUUAAUAAAUAAUCAUACAAGAAUAAACUAUUUCGAGUACUAACAACUGUAAACCUACUUUUGCCACACGGGAUCCCUAGGGCAAUCUGCCAAGAAAUAGCCUUCAGAGGUGGGAGCAGCAAGAAUCACAGCCUCCUGCGGCACCAAAGCCAAACGGCAUUGUGUCAGGCACCCACUGGCACACUUCCUCUCUGCCUCUUUCCUGUCCCCCUUCUGAGUAAGUUGGCUGACCUCACGACAUUUCUCUUCGACAGCUCCUGCCCACCUUCUGGGUGAGGGGUAGGGAGGGACCUUGGAAACCAGAUCAACCCAGU